UAGGGAAUCUUCCGCAAUGGACGAAAGUCUGACGGAGCAACGCCGCGUGAACGAUGAAGGCUUUCGGGUCGUAAAGUUCUGUUGUUAGGGAAGAACAAGUACCGGAGUAACUGCCGGUACCUUGACGGUACCUAACCAGAAAGCCACGGCUAACUACGUGCCAGCAGCCGCGGUAAUACGUAGGUGGCAAGCGUUGUCCGGAAUUAUUGGGCGUAAAGCGCGCGCAGGCGGUUCCUUAAGUCUGAUGUGAAAGCCCCCGGCUCAACCGGGGAGGGCCAUUGGAAACUGGGGAACUUGAGUACUGAAGAGGAAAGCGGAAUUCCACGUGUAGCGGUGAAAUGCGUAGAGAUGUGGAGGAACACCAGUGGCGAAGGCGGCUUUCUGGUCAGUAACUGACGCUGAGGCGCGAAAGCGUGGGGAGCAAACAGG
rnacentral:rRNA from 1 species